UACGAACUGUGCGAACGUUAUUCGGAAUCACUGGGCUUAAAGGGUGCGUAGGCGGCUGCCUAAGUCAGGUGUGAAAUCUCCCGCUCAACCGGGAAACUGCGCUUGAUACUGGGCGGCUCGAGUGAGGUAGGGGUGUGUGGAACUUCCGGUGGAGCGGUGAAAUGUGUAGAUAUCGGAAGGAACGCCAGCAGCGAAAGCGGCACACUGGGCCCUUUUCUGACGCUGAGGCACGAAAGCCAGGGAGCGAACGGG
rnacentral:rRNA from 1 species